rnacentral:rRNA from 1 species
UGGGGAAUUUUCCGCAAUGGGCGAAAGCCUGACGGAGUGACGCCGCGUGUGGGACGAAGGCCUUCGGGUCGUAAACCACUGUCAGUGGGAAAGAUGGGUGUCGAUGCUAAUACCAUCGGCAUCUGACGGUACCUGCAGAGGAAGCCCCGGCCAACUCUGUGCCAGCAGCCGCGGUAAGACAGAGGGGGCAAGCGUUGCUCGGAAUUACUGGGCGUAAAGGGCGCGUAGGCGGGAUGGCAAGUCGGUCGUGAAAUCCCUCGGCUCAACCGAGGAACGUCGAUCGAUACUGCUGUUCUUGAGGAUUGCAGAGGAGACUGGAAUUCCCGGUGUAGCGGUGAAAUGUGUAGAGAUCGGGAGGAACACCGGUGGCGAAGGCGGGUCUCUGGGCAAUUCCUGACGCUGAGGCGCGAAAGCGUGGGGAGCAAACGGG